rnacentral:rRNA from 1 species
CCUACGGGUGGCAGCAGUGGGGAAUAUUGCACAAUGGGGGAAACCCUGAUGCAGCGACGCCGCGUGAGUGAAGAAGUAUCUCGGUACGUAAAGCUCUAUCAGCAGGGAAGAAAAUGACGGUACCUGACUAAGAAGCCCCGGCUAACUACGUGCCAGCAGCCGCGGUAAUACUUAGGGGGCAAGCGUUAUCCGGAUUUACUGGGUGUAAAGGGAGCGUAGACGGCAGCACAAGUCUGGAGUGAAAUCCCGGGGCUUAACCCCGGAACUGCUUUGGAAACUGUGCGGCUGGAGUGCAGGAGGGGGAAGCGGAAUUCCUAGUGUAGCGGUGAAAUGCGUAGAUAUUAGGAGGAACACCGGUGGCGAAGGCGGCUUACUGGACUGUAACUGACGUUGAGGCUCGAAAGCGUGGGGAGAAAACAGGAUUAGAUACCCGGGUAGGC